GACGAACGCUGGCGGCGUGCCUAACACAUGCAAGUCGUGCGAGAAAGUUCCUUCGGGAGCGAGUAAAGCGGCGCACGGGUGAGUAACACGUAGGUAACCUGCCCCCCAGUCUGGAACAACUAGAGGAAACUCUAGCUAAUGCCGGAUGAGACCACGAUCCCUUCGGGGGUUGCGGCCAAAGAUGGCCUCUACUUGUAAGCUAUCGCUGAGGGAUGGGCCUGCGGGCCAUUAGCUUGUUGGUGAGGUAACGGCUCACCAAGGCUGUGAUGGCUAGCUGGUCUGAGAGGAUGACCAGCCACACUGGGACUGAGACACGGCCCAGACUCCUACGGGAGGCAGCAGUGGGAAUAUUGCGCAAUGGGCGAAAGCCUGACGCAGCGACGCCGCGU
rnacentral:rRNA from 1 species